GACGAACGCUGGCGGCGUGCUUAACACAUGCAAGUCGAACGGAAAGGCCCUGCUUUUGUGGGGUGCUCGAGUGGCGAACGGGUGAGUAACACGUGAGUAACCUGCCCUUGACUUUGGGAUAACUUCAGGAAACUGGGGCUAAUACCGGAUAGGAGCUCCUGCUGCAUGGUGGGGGUUGGAAAGUUUCGGCGGUUGGGGAUGGACUCGCGGCUUAUCAGCUUGUUGGUGGGGUAGUGGCUUACCAAGGCUUUGGCGGGUAGCCGGCCUGAGAGGGUGACCGGCCACAUUGGGACUGAGAUACGGCCCAGACUCCUACGGGAGGCAGCAGUGGGGAAUAUUGCACAAUGGGCGGAAGCCUGAUGCAGCUACGCCGCGUGCGGGAUGACGGCCUUCGGGUUGUAAACCGCUUUCGCCUGUGACGAAGCGUGAGUGACGGUAAUGGGUAAAGAAGCACCGGCUAACUACGUGCCAGCAGCCGCGGUGAUACGUAGGGUGCGAGCGUUGUCCGGAUUUAUUGGGCGUAAAGGGCUCGUAGGUGGUUGAUCGCGUCGGAAGUGUAAUCUUGGGGCUUAACCCUGAGCGUGCUUUCGAUACGGGUUGACUUGAGGAAGGUAGGGGAGAAUGGAAUUCCUGGUGGAGCGGUGGAAUGCGCAGAUAUCAGGAGGAACACCAGUGGCGAAGGCGGUUCUCUGGGCCUUUCCUGACGCUGAGGAGCGAAAGCGUGGGGAGCGAACAGGCUUAGAUACCCUGGUAGUCCACGCUGUAAACGGUGGGUACUAGGUGUGGGGUCCAUUCCACGGGUUCCGUGCCGUAGCUAACGCUUUAAGUACCCCGCCUGGGGAGUACGGCCGCAAGGCUAAAACUCAAAGGAAUUGACGGGGCCCCGCACAAGCGGCGGAGCAUGCGGAUUAAUUCGAUGCAACGCGUAGAACCUACCUGGGUUUGACAUGGAUCGGGAGUGCUCAGAGAUGGGUGUGCCUCUUUUGGGGUCGGUUCACAGGUGGUGCAUGCCUGUCGUCAGCUCGUGUCGUGAGAUGUUGGGUUAAGUCCCGCAACGAGCGCAACCCUUGUUCACUGUUGCCAGCACGUUAUGGUGGGGACUCAGUGGAGACCGCCGGGGUCAACUCGGAGGAAGGUGGGGAUGACGUCAAGUCAUCAUGCCCCUUAUGUCCAGGGCUUCACGCAUGCUACAAUGGCUGGUACAGAGAGUGGCGAGCCUGUGAGGGUGAGCGAAUCUCGGAAAGCCGGUCUCAGUUCGGAUUGGGGUCUGCAACUCGACCUCAUGAAGUCGGAGUCGCUAGUAAUCGCAGAUCAGCAACGCUGCGGUGAAUACGUUCCCGGG
rnacentral:rRNA from 1 species